GUCAUUUAAUGGUUAUUACCUAAUUCCUUUGGUUUAGCUUGAAUGGCCAUGGGGUCUUUGUCAGCAGGAAAAGUCGCAAAACGUUAAACAUCCAAAUAUUUAUGCCCUCCUUCACAUUUUUCAGCUUUCCAGUGGGUCGGUUUGGAGUUUUUGCUCAGCCUUAUCUUUGACACCCCCGUUCUAUAGUUUUGAUCUUUGUCAAGUUGGUCACUAUGGUCCUAAGUUUAAGUCACAAAAUGGGUAAGUCCACUGCUAGACAUUAUUUAGUGGCUCUAUAGUGUAGUGAGUUACACAUAUGCCUAUCAAGCAAAAGAUCCCCAGUUCAGCUGUGGGAGUAGACACAAAUCCCUUGGGGGUUCUAUCAGGAAAGAUGUAAAAAAAGAAAGAAGAAAAUCUGCCAAAUCAAAUAUGUGGAGCUACCUGCUGUGGCAAACCCUUGUGAAUAAGGGAGCAACUAAAACUAUCUUCUUCUGCAAUAGUUAUUAUUUCCUACAGUACAUACCAGUUAGCAUGGCACUGGGAUGGUGGGAAUAAUAAAAAGGUACAAAAUCGUCUCACUCUGGCAGGUGGUAUCAAAGAAAGGGUUGGGGGAGCUGUCGGUCUGCUCACACCCACACAGCCUGCAGAAGAUGUCUAAGUGACAAUAUCUAUGGGUGUGAAAGAACAAGGCAUGUACACAUGUGAUAUAUGAAAUAAAAGGAGUCUCGCAUAAACCUCUAGAGAACAAGUCGCCCUUUUGAAUGACAGAAUACAUUAAACAUGUUGUUUAUCCCCAGCAAGAUAUAGUUCCAGUCAAACAGCUAUAGUAAGACACUGAUGCCAUUAUGAAUCUAGAUCGAGAUCAAAGGACAUAAAACCUGUCCUAUAAUAUUAUGACCUCAAUUUAGUUUGUCCCGGCUGUCCCUUCUGAAUCAGUUGGAUCACAAACCAUAAUCCCUUGUCUCUGUGGAUUAAUAAUGUAAUCUUCAGCGCAAACACUGAGCGUAAAUGAAAUGCUUAGGUAUUCACCUGGGCCGUAUUGAAAUGAAUGAAUGACCCCAGUCAGACAUCAUUCACGCUGAAACAAAAACUUCACAGCAUUCACCUUGCCUGGACUGUUGCAGUGAACAUUGAAGGUAUUUCAUCACGCGCACACACGGGGUUUGAAAGUCACCCAAAGUAUGUAAUCAAGUAGUUUCCUGUACUUCUUUUUUUUUUUUCCUUUUCCCAUUUGGAUGCAGGAGAUUAUCACAGGCCUUCUGAGGGAUAUUCUUCAUUACAUUUGAUCAUCUGACUCAUUUUUGUGAGGCUUGAAGUAAAAACCGGUCUCUUUUGUGCUAUAAUCCCCUGUUUGUCUGUUCUUCCGUUCUUUCUUUUUCAUCCAAGAUCAGGCAAGCAUCCAAUGAGCAGCAAGGGACCUUUACUCUUUUAACACAUAUUAAAAGUGAACAAAUUGUCACACAGCACUUACACCUUCAUUUAGUGACGACUAACACAAAGAAGAAGGUGUAGACUGGCUGAACAUAAUCUGAAACAUGCAGUCGGUCAGGUUUCACAUGUUUGUGAUUUCUGUUUUGAAUUUAACUUGCAGUGAUUUUACUUCUGCAGGAACAUUUGGCACCCAGUCCCACCCUGCAGGAAUCUCCAUGAAUCCUGGAGGCAGAUGAGCUGGUGUGCAGUGCAAUGAUAUGGACAGAGAGGGUCUGUUCAAGGUGGGGACAGAUAGAGGUAGGUAUGCCGCUGUUUUAUACGGUAUUGCAGAAACCGUGCCCAUGGGGAACAGUCAAGGCCCAGUACGCUGUGAGGCACUAAUUUAGCACUGAAGUUAGAGAAAACUGAACCAUAGGGUAUAACAUCACCAGGAGUUUAGUAUGCAGAGGGCAUUAUCUCAGAAUGUGAUGAUGUUUGCAAUUUGAACAAAGAAAACGUGACGCAGACGAGCAAAUAAGGAGAAACCAGCCUCUUUGUCAAGGGUGCCAUAGUUUUAAUCAGCAAUUCUACUAAACCAAGAACUGCAGCUUUUUAGGAAUUUCUUUCCUCGCACUCACCCAACAUCUGCUUGUCUAUCUUUGACUGUCUCUGCCCAUCUGUCGGCCUGCCUGCCUGUCUGUCUGUCCGCCCGUCCUUCAACCUUCAUCUCCUUCAGUCUCUCACAAACACCCCGCCUUGCUGUCCUCCAACCUUCGUUUUUUCCUGGGCAGCACAGCAGCCCACAGGCUUUGAUGAGAGGUCUAAGCUAAAAUGUCACAGGGAUUAAGAGGUUUUGCCUCCUGCAUCCCUCCGGAUCAGUUCUGGCUGCCCUCUGUGCCUCAGCUUCUUCUCCCCAAAACAGCAGGAAGACAAAAUCUCUAAAGAUUCACUCUCAGAAAAUUGAAGUCAGUAACUAUCAUCAGUGAAGCAGAUGUCUGAAGUCUCAGCGGGCCUCGUCUCUAGAGAUGAGAGGAAGAUCUACUCUGCUGACCACUCAGACCAGUCCACCUCCCUGGAUUUAUUUGAGAAGAGGCAAAGGAAGUGAAAACAGAAGGGAGACGUCUAAAAGCAAAAACAUAGGAAGAAAAAAAGAAAAAAGCACAGAGCAUGUCUAGAGGGAAUCCAAUGAAAAACCUGGUGGACUUUAAGGAUCUUGUGCUUCUGAUAAAUUAAGCUACAAAAGAAGUUUGGGGAAAAAGACGAGAAAAAAACAUCACUAGGAAUGCAAAACUGGGUGGAUGAAUUGAUGCAUGACCACUACAUGGUGCCAUGGUUGUUACUGUUGUCUCACAGCAGAUAUGAUCUGAGUUAAAAUCCCCUCGUUAGCUGGGGUCUUUCUGUGUGGAGUUUACAUGCUCUCCCUGCACCUGUGUGGUUUCCUCCAACUACCUUUCAUAGUUUAAUUACCGAAUCUAAACUGGCCAUAGGUACGGAUGUAGUGUUCAAUCAAUAUAGAUGUGAAAUCAAGGUCUUGUUGUGUAGAGCAUUUUGAGCUGUCAUUAUACUAGAAAAGUGCUGUGAUAAAUGCAAAUCCA